rnacentral:tRNA from 2 species
GGGUCGUUAGCUCAGCUGGUAGAGCAGUUGGCUUUUAACCAAUUGGUCGAGCGUUCGAAUCGCUCACGACCCACCA